GACGAACGCUGGCGGCGUGCUUAACACAUGCAAGUCGAACGGAAAGGCCCUGCUUUCGUGGGGUGCUCGAGGGGCGAACGCGUGAGUAACACGUGUGUAACCUGCUCUUGACUUUGGGAUAACUUCAGGUAACUGGGGCUACUACCGGAUAGGAGCUCCUGCUGCAUGGUGGGGGUUGGAACGUUUCGGCGGUUGGGGCUGGACUCGCGGCUUAUCAGCUUGUUGGUUGGGUAGUGGCUUACCAAGGGAUUGACGGGUAGCCGGCAUGGGAGGGUGACCGGGCACAUUGGUACUGAGGGACGGCCCAGACUGCUACAGGGGGCAGCAGUGGGGAAUAUUGCACAAUGAGCGGAAGCGGGAUGCGACAACGCCGCGUGCGGGAAGACGUCUUGCUGGUUAUAAACCGCUUUAGCCUGUGACGAAGCGUGAGUGACGGUAAUGGGUAAAGAAGCACCGGCUAACUACGUG
rnacentral:rRNA from 1 species